AAAACCUUCUGUUGAUUCUGAUGGAGUUGCUGGAGCAUCUAUUAGUAAUAUGGAGACUGAAGAGAUGGUUGCUCCAGAGGUGGACAAGAAUUUGCUUGGGGAACUUGAGGCAAUGGGAUUUCCUAUUAACCGAGGAACACGGGCACUUCAUUAUACUGGUAAUGCUAGCCUGGAGGCUGCUG